GUCUACAGCCAUGCCACCCUGAACAAGCCCGAUCCUGUCUGAUCUCGGAAGCUAAGCAGGGUCGGGCCUGGUUAGUACUUGGAUGGGAGACCACCUAGGAAGACCAGGUGCUGUGGGCG
rnacentral:rRNA from 1 species